rnacentral:ncRNA from 2 species
CGACCGCCGUCCGGUCAAGGUUCCUUCGCCCCAUGGUCGAAGGCUAAGACGGGAAAUCGGUGCGAUGCCGAUGCUGCCCCCGCAACUGUAAGCGGCGAGUGGAUUUCCCCUGGUGUGCCACUGGUGCUUCGGCACCGGGAAGGCCGGGAUUUCCAUGACGACCCGCGAGCCAGGAGACCUGCCUUCGACGCCAUAACGAC